AAAAGAGCUUUAGAAUUGGUUCAUUGAUCUUCUAAAUUCCGCUCGCGUCGCGAGCUGAUCAGAAGAAAAAUCAAUGAACCAGUUUCGCUCUUUUCGUUCCACCUUUGGCUGUCAUCCAAUUGUGUGUGUACUCGGCGUUAGCCAGCCCCUGUACCUGUGUGUGAACUGUGACAAGUGAAGUUUUUCCUUAGUGAGCGGAACCGCUCUGACUCUCUAACUGUAGUGAAACAAUUUUAUUACCUCUAAUAAUUGAGCAAAUGAAACGAAAAUUGGAAAGUGAGGAUUUCAGUUCACAAGAAAUGCUGCUGUAAUGAUAACAAUGUUUUUAGAGUCAAAUUGUUUGAUCG